ACGUCUACAUUAGAUACCCGCGUAGUCCCAGCCUGGCCUUCAUGUUGCUGUCGGCCACGGUGCGACCGUUGUCGGUGCCGUAGGGAAGCCGUGAAGCGAGCCACCUGGGAAGUACGGCCGCAAGGCUGAAACUUAAAGGAAUUGGCGGGGGAGCACCACAACGGGUGGAGCUUGCGGUUUAAUUGGAUUCAACGCCGGAAAUCUUACCGGGACCGACAGCAACAUGAAGGCCAGGCUGAAGACUUUGCCGGAUUAGCUG
rnacentral:rRNA from 1 species